GAGGGUAUAGCUCAAGUGGUAGAGGGCAUGUGCAGCAUGCAUGAGGUCCUGGGUUCAAUUCCCAGUACCUCUU
rnacentral:tRNA from 1 species